CCUUUACAGGGAGACCUAACUUCAGUAAUGAAGAUAGACUAAAUCAGUCUAAAAAUACUUCUCAACAACAAGCUGAAGUCAUCCCAGGUCGAGCGAAGCAAUAGAGACAAAGGCUUUCAAACUACGAUUGGGUUCGAUUAUGGGCUAUUAGCUCAGGUGGUUAGAGCGCACCCCUGAUAAGGGUGAGGUCCCUGGUUCAAGUCCAGGAUAGCCCACCUAGUCAUCAUGAAAUAGUCUUGGGGGUAUAGCUCAGUUGGUAGAGCGCUGCCUUUGCACGGCAGAAGUCAGCGGUUCGAGUCCGCUUACCUCCACUCCUAUUUAGGGGAAAAGGCUCAAAUACAAGGAAAGAAUUCAGCAAGAGAUGAAAAGUCGAACUGCUGGAUGUCAAUCCAGUCAGAACCUUUGAAAAACUGCAUAGAGGUCAAAAGUCAGGUUAGUCUGUAUGAACAGACAAAGGUCAAGCUAGAAAGGGCUAACGGUGAAAUACCUAGGCACACAGAGGCGAAGAAUCACUAGUGAAAUUCGC
rnacentral:tRNA from 1 species